GUUUAGGUUUAAUUUGCCUGAAAAAUCGGCAUCAUAGUAACAUUGGCUAGUAUGUUGGAAUAUUUGAUUUUUUAAGUCACCAAAUAUCGGUAUUGGUAUCGGCCUUAAAAAUCAUCUAUGCUAUCUUCAGCAUGUAAUUUUAUUUAUUUUUUACAUCUGUAACUGUAAAGUAACCACUAACUAAAUUAUCAGAUAAUUGUGGAAAAUACAAAGUACAGUAUUUCUGUCUGAAUGUAGCAUAGUAGAAUAUGAAAAUGUAACUUUUACUUGCUAAAUAAAUUUCCUUCACACAGAUGUUUGUUUUUUUGGUUUUUAAUAUUUUUGUUUAAAGACUGCCUUUCCAAGACAGGUUUAGCUUCAUGCAUCUUCUUUUAAAACUCUCAGGGAUUUUUUUCUAUCCGUCCUCUGAGUGGUGCUGUUUCAAUGUACUGCCAUCUUGGAUUUAAAAAAAAAAAAAAAGGAAUUUGGUGGAGAUUCCAGGUGUCUCUGACCAAAAAUGACACAGAUUUGAGCUAAAACAAACAAACUGUCAUCAAGUGUGAAUUAGAUCAAUUUGUAGAAAUGUUUAAUCAUGCUGGGUUUUAGUUUUACAGCACUGAUAUUAGCUGCAUGCGUUUAUACCUCCCAAUGGCAAACCUCUAUCAUCCAUAUACCUUCAACUGCUCAAUACUUAUGAAUAAAAAUCAUAAUUGAGAUGACGAAUCAAAAAAAAAAAAAAGUGCAAAUAAUGCAAGUCCAUGGAAAAGUAAGAGAAGUAUGAAAGGCAGGAGAACAUUGCUUAUCUUUUAUAGAGGAGCUUUUAUACUAAAUAUUGUACAAAAACUAGGCAAAAACAUGUAUUAAGCAGAUGACUUAUCAUGUACAACAACCUUAUUUUUCAGACUGAAUAAUAAUAAUAAUAAAAAAAAAAACUUUCCAUAUAAUGAAUGAAACCCAGCAGUGUGUGCAAAUAUAUGCACACAUUUUAUUUAGGGCAGAGAGACGGCCUCAGGUAAGCAGCACCUCUACAAACAACAGUGAACUCUUUCACACAAACAGUGCAUCUAUCUGCGCAAACAUUCAGAGCCAAAUAAAAAAGUCAAAGUCAAAGUGAAGCGACUGUACGGGUAAAGGAAGGUGCCGACAAGGCGGUGAGAAACUGUUAUACAGAAUCAGGAGACAGUUCUCAUCAUUAAAAACAAGCUUCCCAUUGCUCUGAAACAACUAAAAAAAACCAACUCUGCGGUUUAAUCAUUACUGCUGUAGUUUAAAACAUCUUUAAUGGUCUGAAUCCUUCCUUUCAUCUGUUAUGUGAAAGUAAUUUAGCACUCCUGAAACUGACCACAAAUGUGUAAUACAUUAAAGUGAACACUUCUGCUCUAACACUGACUGACUCACAAACAAUCAUAGUGGUCACAGUCACAGUAAUAGCAAUACAUGUAUUUUGUCCUUAUGUAACUUAAGUGAUGGUGGACUUCACUGAGAUGCUUUACACGUCAGAAGCGAGUUUAUGGAGGCUGUUUGUUUUUUUACUCCAAUUUGCAAUAAGUGGAAACCAAUCACAAUGUGGGAAGCUGGAAAAAAAUAUAUCAAGUAACACAAAACAUCAGAAUGCAUUUCAAACCGUUUAGCUGAAAUUGUAAAACAGAAAACCUCAGCGGUGAUAUCUGAGCUAGAUCUGUCUUUGGCUUUUCAGAUAUUCCAGUUUCACGUCUUCCUUCGUAUCGUGCUCGUCUCUGGUAUCCGACACCAAAACACCUACUCCAUGUACCGAUUCCUCACGCUGUACUGAGAUAAGAACAGGCUACAGGUGUCUUAAGACAGGGUUUCAGAUUUGCUCCCUUUUAAUGCCGUAAGGUGAAAUGCACUGGAUGCAUGCGCUGAGCAAAGCGAAAGUAGUCAAAUUUGAAAUCUUAUUACAGAGUGUCAGCUUGCUGUAAGGCUGCGCUUGAUUUUUGAAGCAUCUGGAUGCCUAUUAAAAAAAUAUAGGGAGUCUGAAAGCUGUGACACCACAGGAGCCAGAAGUAUGCAGCGCGAUUUAAAAAACACUACACCUGACAAGUAUAUGGUCAUAAAGUGACAGAAACACAGAGCAGACCUAAGUUUCUUUAAAACCGCAGAUCAAACUGUAGCCAGUGGGAUGAGCAGCUGAUUGUGAACAUCUGUUUUCUGAACUGUUUACCCAGUUCAGGAUUGCCGGGAGAACUGGAGCCUAUCGCUGCUGUCAUAAGGCGAGCGGUUGCCGGUAUCUCACACGGCAAAGAGAGAACCAGGCAUCUCACAUUCACACCUACAGCAAAUUUAGAAUCACCAUUUAACCUAACAUGCAUAUCUCUGGGAAGAGGCCGGAGCAACUGGAGAAAAUCCGAGAGACAGGAACGCCCCAGGCGGCAGUCAAACCCACAACCUUCACUAACCGCACCACCAACACCGCGCCACCAUGAAUGUUAACAUGCAACUUAAAGGUAAGUUUCACUACUAAGACGUUACCAUGCCAACCCUCUUUUCUUACAAAGCCUGUUACAGUGCAAAUACAGCAAAUCUCUUUUGUUCUCUCGUAGCUACAACAUCACCACUAAUGCUUUUUGUACCAUUGUUAACUUAGUCCACAAAACUGGUAGUUACCUAUAGGAAUGAGAGAUAAUAGCAGUAAGUGGAGUCACCAUUACAGUAUAUGCAAUGUGUUGAAUUAAAACACAAUAAAAAAAAAAAAAAAUGUAAAUCUGGAUAUUUUCUUUACUUUCAGUCACUCAGCUUGAACCACAAAGAUCUACAAACUAAUGUAAAAAGUGAACAUUAAGGCAGCAUGGAGACAUCCAAUCAAACAGCACUGCUGCAAUUUAAAGACAUAUUGCUAGCCUGAGCUGGGUUUGUAGGCAACAUCACGCAGCUAGGUGUGUUUAUGCAGAAGAAUGUCAAUAACAGAUACUUGGAUUUGGUAUCCUCCAGUUUGGGCUCCUUUAAUAUCAGAUGAUUAAAAACAAAGAAGGUUGCUUGAGGAGACUGAAAGGGAGCAGUAAGUAGGCUCAGCACAGCAGUGAUAGAGAUGGUAAAUAUGGGGUUCUUCAAUGUACUAGCCGGGCAGUUUGAGACAUUUAAGCCCAGAGUGUUUUCCUGUACAAACGAAAUAAAUUAACUCAAAAAGGAACAAAAACAUCAGCGGUCAUCACAUGACACCUUAUAACUGCAUAUAUGUAUAUAAUUAUAUAUAGUCUGUACAGAGCAGGAAAUAUAAACAGCAACUCUGUGCAUGGAAGGCAAAACUCUUCUUCAUUCACUAAAAACUCUCUAAGUCACACUUUGAAACAACCUCACACUAGUGUAAUGACAAGUGGUAAACAAGACAAUGGGCCAGUGGAUGGAAAAUUUAUGGAUGCAUGUAUUGUGUCUGUUCCCCAGAAUCCGUGUUUAACCUCACACCGCUCUACUAAAGUGAAAUACCAACAAACAACACAGACUUAGCACAAAUAAAGAGAUGUUAAUUAUUAAGGGAAGAGAACUGAACAGAAAUGUUAAUAUUAUUUAAGGGUAGAGUUAGAACAUGAAGAAAAAUCCAUAAAGAAAUGUGUUACCAAAAACAACAUGCAUGAAAAAGAUUUCCAUUGGUCCAAGUAAAAUGCUAAAAACAUGAAACCCCCCCCUAAAUAAACAGUGAUUGAAAAUCCCCUCUUCAUAUUCUUCAAAUUCACCAGAAUAGACACAAUCAACACACAUGUCUAACAGAUCCACCCCGACAGAAGGUGGAACUUGGAGAAAGGCACGACACAGGUUGACGUCCGUCUUCAAAGCUCCUCCGGUAACAGUUUCCGAUCGCCGAUAACUGCGUAGUGAUGGCACCUCCCACAAAGGACGGACUGCUCAAAGGUUACGCAAGUCUCUGUAAGAUCCUCACAUUUAUGCUGCAUAUGUUGGCCCUCACCGCGCUCGGGCCUGGUCUGGAGUCAGAUCUCAUCGCUGAACUUCAGUUGUCAAGAAUGUGCACUUCCAUCUCGGGAAGCCAGCUUUAAAUUUCACCUCACAACAACAACUUUUUUUUUCCUUCUCAGAGGGUAACGUGCUUGGUAAAGUAUCUCAGCUGCUGCUCAGAAUCUGCAUGUGGAAUGAUGUGUUGUCCAAGCUUGGUAUGACAUUAACAUCAUCAGAGAGCGCGUCACUGCAGCUGCACUCUGUACGCGCAGAUGAGGAGCUUGACCUGAGGAGAGAAGAUCAGACGGAAACGCUGCUGAGAUGCUUCGACUUUUGGAUCCUCUCUACAUAUCAAAAGAAAUUCAGCUUUAUGAUUGGAUGACUAACAAUUCAAACUGUUUCCUGUUUUCAGCUGCAAAAUGUUUUACUUUUUUUGACUCGAACAAAUACAAAAAGUAAAGCUGAUGAUUUGAGUUAUUAACAUGAAAACCAGCAGUGAGGAUAUCCUAUUGAAAAAUACUGUGUGCGUUUCCAAAGUCUGAUAUUACUUU
ensembl:lncRNA